CCAGGUUUGGGCUUGGGAGAGAUUUCCUUCAUUCGCGCCUACGCGGCGAGGUUUCUUGCAGAUUGAGAGGGGUCAGGACGGUCGUCCGGUUGAUCCUCUCCCGCUCGCAUAUCGAUGGAGGGACGACUUGAGGGCAUCGAUGGUUGCGCUUCACACAUUGCCCUGGUACAGGUUCGAGUUGGACAUGCACCGGGAGCAUGAGUUUAUAUGGAUGCCCUACACGGAUGAGAUUUUAGCCGACAUGCCGCCUGGCUAUGCAGACGGGAGGGACCUGUGGGUAGCGCGAGUGCCACUCAUAUGCUUUCAUAUUAUUGAGUGGUAUCUCCCCGAUCGAGU